UUCAAAUUUUGCUAUCUCUAUAUAAUAUAAUAUAUACAAAACCUGAUAUAAUGUCAUUUUUCCUGAAAAUGACUUGACAAAUCACCGAAUAAGAUAUACAAUUUUCUCGGUUCUUAUAUACUUUACAAAACCUGAUAUAAUGUCAUUUUCUUUCAAUUUUUUUACAAUGGAAUGUAGCCCAUAUCGCAGAGAUCAUUUUGGUAUUUGUUUUUAGGACUAUUUGCAAAAAUGACCUAACACUCAAAGUCAAACUUAAAACUAACCUAUGUUUUUUUGAAUUUUUUUUUAUCUUAUUUACCCCAUAAGUUAAUAUUAUUCAUGAAAAUGCCUUUAAUUUUUCUUUUUUUUUCAAAAAUGGUCUUUUUACUCUCAUCAUCUUUAAGUAUUUACAAGAUUACAAUUGCCAUCAAUACACAAAACCACCAUGAACAACCAAUUUAAAACUCUUAAUGC
rnacentral:lncRNA from 1 species